rnacentral:rRNA from 1 species
CAAUAGCGUAUAUUAAAGUUGUUGCAGUUAAAACGCUCGUAGUUGAAUAUCUGUUAUCAUUGUUCGGUCCGCUUCGGUGUGUACCGUAACAAAUAUACCAUUCGUUUGCUUUGCUCCGCACUGCAAACCGUUUACUUUGAGGAAAUUAGAGUGUUCAAAGCAGGCUAGCGCCUUGAAUACUUCAGCAUGGAUUGAUAGGACUUGAAUACUUCAGCAUGGAUUGAUAGGACUUCCGUUCUGUCAUUGGUUCUGGGAACGAGAAGUAAUGAUUAAGAGGGGCGGUCGGGGGCAUUCGUAUUGAACAGUCAGAGGUGAAAUUCUUAUAUUUGUUCAAGACGAACUACUGCGAAAGCAUUUGCCAAGUACGUUCCCAUUAA